GGAGGAAUGCAAUUUUGUUAAGGCAACAAAGAGUGCUCCUGUUACCACCAUAGGGGUUAAUUUGUGUUCCGCUACUAAAAUUAGCCGCAGCAUCGCUGGCGACAUAGCCACACCACAGCGAACAACAACAACAAUCACAACAAAAAAGAAUAUUAUAGCGCACUAAUACAGCCGUAUUAUUCCCAAGUAUAUAUUACAUUGUAUAGUACAUCCGAGCUAUAUACUAUGUCUCUGUUCACUUGAGAACCACCAGCAUCCUCAGAAUCAUUUAUCCACACGUCCACCGUAUGUACAGCAGCAAAUCAAUCUAUCUUUCUAUCACUUUUGUAUCUUUGUAUCUUCUAUGGCAAUAUAAACAAUUGCACUUAUAUAUCUUAAUGUUUAUUGUACAAUCACAAACACACGUCCGCCGCUUGACCCGCUGAUUGCUUCUGCUAUUUACAUAUGGGUAUUUUUGUAUGUGUGUGUGUGUAUAUGGCACGACUGAUAGGCGAGAGGCAAGCAAAAUAAACGGAAAAUGCUCCUGAUAGUACGUCCAAAUAAACC